CAGCCGCCGCGGUAAUACGGAGGGGGCUAGCGUUGUUCGGAAUUACUGGGCGUAAAGCGCACGUAGGCGGCUUGGUAAGUUAGAGGUGAAAGCCUGGAGCUCAACCCCAGAAUUGCCUUUAAGACUGCCGAGCUAGCAGGUGAGAGAGGUAAGUGGAAUUCCGAGUGUAGAGGUGAAAUUCGUAGAUAUUCGGAAGAACACCAGUGGCGAAGGCGGCCAUCUGGGACAACACUGACGCUGAGGCACGAAAGCGUGGGGAGCAAACAGGAUUAGAUACCCCUGUAGUCCCUGUCUCUUAUAC
rnacentral:rRNA from 1 species